rnacentral:lncRNA from 1 species
GGGCAAAGAGCAUCUGUUCCCUCCAUUCUCCUAGCUCCAUCGGCUGCCAACCUAAGGCCAUCGCCUGCCUCCAUCACCCCUUCGCCUGCCUGCCUACCACCCAAUCCCAAAUGGGUGCUGGAUCAGGUCCUCCUUCUCAUCCCUUCUUAGGCAUGGAGAGAUGAAGGACAGAUGGAGAGAUGAAGGACAGAUGGAGUACCGCACAAGGAUACAAUGGAGGGAGUAGGCCAUGGCUAAGACCCCCAAGGAUGAAGAAUGGAGAGCCCUGACUGUCCUCCUGGCCUCCAGUCAUUUCCCCACUGAAGAUGGCCGUACCCUCUAACCUGGGAGGACCAUGGCCCAACAAUGGCAGUGGGAGAGAAGAUGACUCUGUAAAGGACACUCUCCGUUAUCUGUGAUGACAUACACCAGCCCCCCGAACAAUUUAACCUCAAGCUGCCCUCUGCAAGACUUCGGUAGCACUGGACUUCCCUCAUUCCUGGUAGGCAGAGGUUGUUAGCCAUCAGUCUGGAAGAUCUGAAGGAAAAUUUGGCUUUGGGUAAAGUCAAAGGGGAUGGCUCUCAGAGAUAAGGCCAGUUCAUGAGAAGUAAGCAGGGCUUUGCUACCUGCGCUGGGCAGAGCUGCCCUGGGCUGGGGGAGUUCUGACAUCAGCAUCUCUGGAGGCGGAUGGCAACUUCAGAAGAAGCACAGUUUCCCCAGGAGAAAAGAAAACAGGAGGUCUUCAGUCAGCAUGGAGUUUGAAGCCGCCCAUGGCUGAAGCUCAGAAUACUCUGGAGAGCUGAGAGUCCUUCUUCAGCGGCCGGGCCGUUCUGCAGCAGCUGCAGCCGCCUCUGGGCCUGGGCGUCGCGGUGGGCAGGCGUGCGUAGGUGUUGCAGCAAGGCUAGGCGGGAGGGCGUGUCCCAGGCGCACAACAGGCAGUGGUAAAGCCCCGGCUCCGGCCCUGCCUCUGCUCCCUCCAUUUCCAGCAGAAACUAGAAGCAUGGAAGAGGCCAGCUCAGAUGUAGAAGGCACAACUCCAGACCUCUGGGGACUGUUCCUCCUCGAUUAGACUCUUUCAUGCCUGGGUGGCCUCCCUCCACCCUGCUAUGGCUUCCCAUCCGCUUCUCCUCUCCAUUUCCUUCUUUCUCCCAUCAGUCCUGGGUCCCCCAGUGUGUGGCCGGGAGCUGCUUCUGUCCUGGAUACCAUGAUGGCUGGACUGAGAUGGCCUCCUCCCUAUAGCAUGUGUGCUAGAACAGCUAAAUCAAGUCUGUUUCUCCUCCUCGGGGCCCACUGC